UUGUUUUUAAAGAAAACAACAGCUCGGCGUGGUGGUACGCACCUUUAAUCUCCACACUCUGUAGGCAGAGGCAGUCGGAUCUCUGAGCUCCGCGAGACCAGAGUACAGAGCCCUGGGCAUCCGAGGAGGCGUGGGGCUGUCUCCCAGUCUUCAGUCCUGCUCUAUCUCAUUUUGCAUUCUUAAGUCCCUCAUCCAUAUCCACUUUCUGUAACCAGAAGGAAACUGUUUCUCCACACUGAACAAUAGCCCUGUUACCUGUCAAACAAGGAACUUCAGUGUCUCACCUACAACGAGGUGGGACUCGUGUGCAUGGCAGGAGCCGGGACAGUUGCCACUCAUCGCUGCUGCAUGGAGAAAGCACAGGAGAAGAUCGCAGAGGAGCUGAGGUGGGAGAAAGUGUGAAAAGGUUGAGACGGGAAACACGGUAAGCCAUGUUUGGGGCCGGGAAUGCUGGAGGCAGAGUGCACACCCAGUUCUUAAGGCUGUGGGUUUAUUCACCAGCAUUGAAAAGAGAAAAGCCAGUCAACCAGCUAAACAAAGACCCCAAAGUCCUUUAAUUUAAAAAUUUGCUUUCAAAGACACCACUAUGAACUUUAAUACAUGAAAACGCAAACCACAGGCUGGGAGACAGUUGUUCAGCGCACAGCGUCUGGUACAUAAUUGUUUUAUUCAUAUAUAAAAAAACUUUGGUAAAAAGUAUGGGAUAACAGCACAAUUAAA